GAUGAACGCUGGCAGAGUGCUUAACACAUGCAAGUCUACCUGAACUUCGGUUUUUGUGGCGGACGCGAGAGUCACGCGUGUAGGACAUGCCUCACAGUUAGGGACAACAUUUGGAAAUGAAUGCUAAUACCUGGUAUUAUGAUUUUAGGGCAUCCUAGGAUUAUGAGAGCGAUAUGUGCUGUGAGAGAGCUGUGCGUCCCAUUAGCUCGUUGGAGAGGUAGCUGCUCACAAAGGCGAUGAUGGGUAGCCGGCCUGAGAGGGUGAACGGCCACAAGGGGAGUGAGACACCGCACUUACCCACACGGGAGGGAGGAGUGGGGAAUAGUGGACAAUGGACCAAAAGGAUGAAGCAGCAAUUCGGUGUGGACGAUGACGUUUUGCGGAAAGAAAAGUGUUUUCAGUUGCGAAGAAAAAAAUGACGGUACCAACAGAAGAAGCGACGGCUAAAUACGUG
rnacentral:rRNA from 1 species